ACAUCGAUAGCUCAGUGGCAGAGCGGUGGGGCGUUUACCCAUGCGGCCCGGGUUCGAUCCCCGGUCGAUGUA